rnacentral:rRNA from 1 species
GACGAACGCUGGCGGCGUGCUUAACACAUGCAAGUCGAGCGGUAAGGCCUUUCGGGGUCCACGAGCGGCGAACGGGUGAGUAACACGUGGGUGAUCUGCCCUGCACUUCGGGAUAAGCCUGGGAAACUGGGUCUAAUACCGGAUAUGACCUCCUAUCGCAUGGUGGGUGGUGGAAAGAUUUAUCGGUGCAGGAUGGGCCCGCGGCCUAUCAGCUUGUUGGUGGGGUAAUGGCCUACCAAGGCGACGACGGGUAGCCGACCUGAGAGGGUGACCGGCCACACUGGGACUGAGACACGGCCCAGGCUCCUACGGGAGGCAGCAGUGGGGAAUAUUGCACAAUGGGCGGAAGCCUGAUGCAGCGACGCCGCGUGAGGGAUGACGGCCUUCGGGUUGUAAACCUCUUUCAGCAGGGACGAAGCGCAAGUGACGGUACCUGCAGAAGAAGCACCGGCUAACUACGUG